GUCGGCGAGCCCGCGGUGGGGGUCCCCGCGCCGCCCAGGCCUACCCCGGCUCCUUGGGAUAGAUGGGGAAGCUGAGGCCCAGAAGGGGGCUGAGACCACCUCCCAGUUUCCCCAGUGAGGUGGCGCCUGAGCCACGGCCAGGCCCGGCCUCCUUCCACCCGGCCCUGCUGUGCGCGCGGCGGGUGCUGACCUGGCGAGGCCGGACAGGGGACCAGGUCGGGGUGACCGUCACUGACACCUGGACAGUCCUCGUUGUGUUCGGGGUGGGAAGCCCACGGAUCUUCAGAGGGAAGGCACCAGGAGUGGACUGCGGGACACCCAGAGUGGACUGCAGGAGGACACAGAAGCUAGGCUGAAGCGGGAGGAAGCUGGGAACCCUGCACGGGGCCACUGCGCACUGGGACUCGUUACUGGUCCCCAAGACUCAGGGAGAAUGGGGAAGAGUGUAUCACAGCCAUUGGGAACUUUCUUCACCCAUCAAAGCCUCAGGGCUGAAGCAUCCUGAACAAGAACUCAGGAGAGUGAAAGAAACAGUUACCUGUCGGCUGCAGCUGGUACCAGCUCCCCACCCCGUACAGAGACCGAAGCGUCCUCUCUCUCCCCAUCACCCAGCACCAGACUCUGCCCCGCGACCUCAGCCUGCACCUGCUUCCUGGCUCCAUCCAGCCUUCCAGCCUCACUAGAUCAUCAUGGGCCACUGGCCAACACACAGGGCAGUGCCGAGCCCAGGCCGUGGUCACACAUGGCUGGGUUAGUAGCUGAAAACAUUGUUUUUCACUGGCCUCACAGUAAUGGCACCUGCCCCCAUUUUCUGUGAUUGAAUUUUUGGAUCCUGCUACCAGGUUAUGAUAGAUUUUAUGGUAUGUCUCAAGAUAUUGAGAUAAAGGUAAUAAAACAGCUAUAAAGUCCUGGCUCAAGAAGUGUUACAAACCCAAGCAGGGUAAAUACAAGAAAACUGCACCCAGACACAACAUAGUAAAAUUGCUGAAAACCAAAGAUGAAUAGAACACUUAACAGUUGGAGGAAAAAAGCCACAUUACCUUCAUAAGGACACCAAUCACACUAACAUCUGACUUCGAAAUAGAAAUAUAAAAGCCAAACUACAAGGGAAUGUGAUCUUCAAAAUAUUGAAAGAAUUUAAUUGUUAAGUGAAAUAAUUAACUGCCAACCUAAAUUCUAUUCCUAGUGGAAAUACUCUCCAAGAAUAAAGGUGAAAUAAAUACAGACUCACACAAGAGAAAUCAAGAGCGUUCUUCCUCAGGAGACAUGAGCUGAUUGGUAUAGAAGAGGUGUUUGAAACGUCCUUAGAGGGAGGGCUAGAGACACAGGGAGGAGAAACCUUCAGAACACACCUUCCAUUGAGGGCCAAAAAAGUCAACUAUCGAUUCUUUGAAAGUGCCCCAAACUCGUAAAUCUCUGGUGAUGCUGACCAAAAAAACAAUGAAGGAAGGCACCCUGUGAUGGGGAAGGAAAAGGGGAGAUUGCUGGAGAUCUGUGGAUAUUAAAAAUAGGCACAUAUACACUAUGGAAUACUAUGCAGCCAUAAAAAAGGAUGAGUUCAUGUCCUUUGUAGUGACAUGGAUGAAGCUGAAAACCAUCAUUCUGAGCAAACUUUCGCAAGGACAGAAAACCAAACACUGCAUGUUCUCACUCAUAGGUGGGAAUUGAACAAUG
rnacentral:lncRNA from 1 species